rnacentral:tRNA from 1 species
UCCCUGGUGCUCCAGUGGUUAAGAUUCUGUGCUGCUAAUGCAGGGGUGUGCAGGUUCGAUUCCUGGUUGGGGAA